rnacentral:rRNA from 1 species
GACGAACGCUGGCGGCGUGCCUAAUACAUGCAAGUUGAGCGCUGAAGGUUGGUACUUGUACCAACUGGAUGAGCAGCGAACGGGUGAGUAACGCGUGGGGAAUCUGCCUUUGAGCGGGGGACAACAUUUGGAAACGAAUGCUAAUACCGCAUAAAAACUUUAAACACAAGUUUUAAGUUUGAAAGAUGCAAUUGCAUCACUCAAAGAUGAUCCCGCGUUGUAUUAGCUAGUUGGUGAGGUAAAGGCUCACCAAGGCGAUGAUACAUAGCCGACCUGAGAGGGUGAUCGGCCACAUUGGGACGGAGACACGGCCCAAACUCCUACGGGAGGCAGCAGUAGGGAAUCUUAGGCAAUAGACGAAAGUCUGACCGAGCAACGCCGCGUGAGUGAAGAAGGGUUUCGGAUCGUAAAACUCUGUUGGUAGAGAAGAACGUUGGUGAGAGUGGAAAGCUCAUCAAGUGACGGUAACUACACAGAAAGGGACGGCUAACUACGUG